AGCGAAGCGAACAGCGCAACCUGCUUUGGGAGCAGGGGGUCGCAGGUUCAAAUCCUGUCUUCCCGACCA
rnacentral:tRNA from 1 species